UCUAAAUAAAAAUUUUUGGGUUUUGACGGGCCAUUGCUGACGUCAGCGAAAUUUUUAAACGUUAUAUCUCCUUAGGCGUUUGUCGAAAACAUAUGAUCCUACACAUUAUUUUGAUCAGCGUUUUAACCUUUAAACAUUACAGGCAACGAAUAAACUAAACUUCACCAAUUUUUUUUGUAUCUGCACUGCUGACGUCAUCAAAAAACAUCUAAAACAACCUAUUUUCCAUUGUCCUUCUGACUAAGUGGAUUUCUCCACGGGCCUUAUCGACUAGUUUAUAUAUAAUACGUUAUAAUAUGUUAAAUUCCAAUCAUUUGUACAAAAUCUGCUAAAAAAGAAACAUGCUUUUUUAAUUAAAGAAAAUAAUGAGAUCCAAAAUAAUUGAAUUAUGUCAAAAGGAUGAUAUUUCUAGUUUUAAAUUUCGAUUAACUUCUAUGACUGGCAUAGCACAUUCACAUGCUUCAUUUUCUUUUUAUAUGGAUGUCUUUUGUAUUCUGUAAUUUUCUGUUCUAGUGCAUUGUUUAAAACACAUUUGCAGCUGUCAACUUCAGGGGCGGAUUUAGCUAUGGUGUACUGGUGUAAAUACACCAGCAAAAAUUCUGCUCAAAAAAUUAAGGUGUAUCUCUGUGAGCCUUUUGCUCUCAGAUUUUUACGCCCAUUAUUAAACUGAACUAGAAUAACGGCCGCCAGCGUCUGUCGCGUAUAAAACUGAUAUUCGUGUCCCGCCCCCCCGCCGUUUGGGUUUCGUGGUCCUGUUUUUGUGUCAAUUUAGCCGAAUGCGGCUGUUUCAUCCUGCGAAAUUUUUGAUAUCCUAAUCGUUACCGGCAUCAGUAUUUACACCAGUUCAACUGGUGUAAGCUGCGCAUUCUUAUGGGCAAAAAAUAUCCUGGUGUAUUUCUCUGGUGUAGCCAACUGGUGUAAAAUAAAAAUUAUAUGGCAUGACGAUCCAGGACAUAUAUUCAGGUGAGUGGUCUGCAAACUUUCUCUUUUACGACCGCUGUGAAACAGGUCAGUGUUUUUUUUACUUGAUUUAUUUCUUCGAAGAUUUGGAGCGAGAUGUAAAGUAAAGCACCAUAUUUCGACAUGUGUUGGAGAAGUAUCAUUUUUGGAUGCAAGACUUGGGAAGAAAAAGUUGGACUGAAUCUCACAGACACUACUGAAUGCUCCCUUGGUAAAAUUUCCAACAGAGUCUAUUUGUAGAUGUUUAAGGUGACAUCCAUGGAAGUUUUAAUAAUGGGUUGAUUACCUCAAGAACAAGUACAGAAUAUACGAGCGAAUGUAUAACCAUUAUGGGUGAGGUGAGAAAAAUGCAAUUUGGGUUAUUUGAGCUAAAUCACUUUGUAUAUACCUCCAACCACCAUGAAAAAAGACAAAACGUUUAAAAGUGCCAGUAACGACCAGUUUUCUGUGAGAGAUCUAUAUCAACGCUACGACGAGUUAAGACAUAUUCAAGAAACUUGAUGACCCAGGGUCAAUUUAAUGGUUUGGUGUUGCUAAAUAUCCACAACGAGAUGAGAAUAAAUUUAGAUGACAUAAUCGAUAUGCUGGUAAAAAAUAAAAUGUUAAAUAUCCUGAACGACGGUUAAAAGUGUAGCAGUCUUGAUAAAAAAGGAAUAAAUCUUGUAUAUUAUUAUCUGUUGCUUAAAUGUCCCCAUAUAUAAAUUCCCUAGAAGUAAUAAGGCAUGACAUCAAAAUUUUUAAAAAACAACAUUUUAAUUACUCAAGUUGUACAAAAAAUAUUCAAAAAUAUAAUCUUCGUCAGCUAAAAAAACAUUCAAAAUUAUAAUCUUCGUUAUUACUCAAGUUGUACAAAAAAUAUUCAAAAAUAUAAUCUUCUUCAGCUAAAAAAACAUUCAAAAAUAUAAAAAACUAAAAAACCCACUAUAUACCUACUUAUCAAAGAUAAGUCUGAAAGAUGAUUUUAAGCUAUUUUAGCCGUUUAAGGGCGUUGCCCUGGACCCAUUGGGGGACGCCCCCAAACCCCCAGUUGUAAGAUCUUCUCUUUGAGGCUUUUUUACACCAGUCAAAAAAAAUCCUAGAUCCGCCCCUGAACUUUUUUUUAAUACAUCAGUAAUGUAAUUGGAGAAUUAGUUUGUUGAGUAGAUGCAACUUUUGCACACAUCACUGCAGCAUGAAACUGCUUUAGAGGUUGUCUAUUUACAAUAAUUACCACCCAUAGCAUUAUGCUAUGAAAUGGUCUAAGUCAAGUGAAUUGACCAGGCAUUUAACAUCUACUG